rnacentral:tRNA from 1 species
GUGACUGUGGUGUAGCGGCAACUGCACACCUGGAUGUGGCCCAGGAGGUCGGGGUUCGACUCCCCGCAGUCACC